rnacentral:ncRNA from 1 species
AAAGACUUAGUCCUAACCUUACUGUUAACUUUUGCUAAACAUAUACAUGCAAGUAUCUGCACCCCAGUGUAAAUGCCCCAGAUUUCUUACCUUGAGACGAAGGGAGCGGGUAUCAGGCACACCCACCGUUGUAGCCCAAGACACCUUGCUUAGCCACACCCCCACGGGUACUCAGCAGUAAUUAACAUUAAGCAAUAAGUGCAAACUUGACUUAGUUAUAGCAACACCUAGGGUUGGUAAAUCUUGUGCCAGCCACCGCGGUCAUACAAGAAGCCCAAGUUAACUGCAAUCCGGCGUAAAGAGUGGAACCACGUUGUCACGCCAACUAGGGUUGAAGCGCAACUGAACUGUCAUAAGUCCAAGAUGCCCCUAAAACCACCCUCAAGACGACCCUAGCAACCAUGACUGACUAGGCCCCACGAAAGCUAAGGUACAAACUGGGAUUAGAUACCCCACUAUGCUUAGCCCUAAAUCUUGGUACUUACCCCACUAAAGUACCCGCCCGAGAACUACGAGCACAAACGCUUAAAACUCUAAGGACUUGGCGGUGCCCCAAACCCACCUAGAGGAGCCUGUUCUGUAAUCGAUACCCCACGAUACACCCAACCGCCCCUUGCCAAAGCAGCCUACAUACCGCCGUCGCCAGCUCACCUCCUAUGAGAGCCCAACAGUGAGCACAACAGCCACACCCGCUAGCAAGACAGGUCAAGGUAUAGCCCAUGGGUCGGAAGAAAUGGGCUACAUUUUCUAAAAUAGAAAACUUACGGAAGGGGGUGUGAAGCCACCCCUAGAAGGCGGAUUUAGCAGUAAAGAGGGAUUAUAAAGCCCCCUUUAAACCGGCCCUGGGGCACGUACAUACCGCCCGUCACCCUCCUCAUAAGCUAUUAAACCACUAUAACUAAUACCCCCACCAGCCAAAGACGAGGUAAGUCGUAACAAGGUAAGUGUACCGGAAGGUACACUUAGCACACA